GCUGGGCGUGGUGGCGCAUGCCUGUAGUCCCAGCUACUUGGGAGGCUGAGGCAGGAGAAUCGCUUGAACCUGGGAGGCGGAGGUUGCAGUGAGCUGAGAUUGCGCCACUGCACUCCAGCCUGGUGACAGAGCGAGACUCUGUCUCAA
rnacentral:SRP_RNA from 1 species